CGGGAAGUAGCUCAGUGGGUAGAGCGCCGGUAUAAAUACCUUUCGCUCAUGGCAAAUGAGGUUCCUAUAAAAAUCGGAACCGGAUGUCGAAGGUUCAAAUCCUUCCUUCCCGACCA
rnacentral:tRNA from 1 species